rnacentral:misc_RNA from 1 species
AAAGUCGUAACAAGGUAUCCGUAGGUGAACCUGCGGAUGGAUCAUUAAAGUAAACGAGGCGGUUGGACUGUUUUAACAAGCAGUUUAGCCCAACCCUCACCACACUUUGUGAACUGUUUCCUGUCUCUGGCAGGUGGCUGGCUUCUUCUUUGCAGAAAAGGCCUCAACCUGCCGCUGGGUUUUCGGACCCGGCUUUGUUUUAACUCUUAAGCUUAACCAAACUGUCUGAAACAAUUAUACAAAAACUAAAUGUAUAAACAACUUUUGACAACGGAUCUCUUGGCUCUC